AUUUAGCUGACGAGUCCCAAAUACGACGAAACGCUUGUCAGACUGGAU
rnacentral:hammerhead_ribozyme from 1 species